rnacentral:rRNA from 1 species
CCUACGGGAGGCAGCAGUAGGGAAUCUUCGGCAAUGGGCGAAAGCCUGACCGAGCAACGCCGCGUGAGUGAAGAAGGUUUUCGGAUCGUAAAACUCUGUUGUAAGGGAAGAACAGCAGGUAGUUAAAUAAGCUACUUGUGUGACGGUACCUUAUUAGAAAGCCACGGCUAACUACGUGCCAGCAGCCGCGGUAAUACGUAGGUGGCAAGCGUUAUCCGGAAUUAUUGGGCGUAAAGCGCGCGCAGGCGGUUUCUUAAGUCUGAUGUGAAAGCCCCCGGCUCAACCGGGGAGGGUCAUUGGAAACUGGGAAACUUGAGUGCAGAAGAGAAGAGUGGAAUUCCACGUGUAGCGGUGAAAUGCGUAGAGAUGUGGAGGAACACCAGUGGCGAAGGCGACUCUUUGGUCUGUAACUGACGCUGAGGCGCGAAAGCGUGGGGAGCAAACAGGAUUAGAUACCCUGGUAGUCCACGCUGUAAACGAUGAGUGCUAAGUGUUAGGGGGUUUCCGCCCCUUAGUGCUGCAGCUAACGCAUUAAGCACUCCGCCUGGGGAGUACGGUCGCAAGACUGAAACUCAAAGGAAUUGACGG